UACGAAGGGGGCUAGCGUUGCUCGGAAUCACUGGGCGUAAAGCGCACGUAGGCGGGUUCUUAAGUCAGGGGUGAAAUCCUGGAGCUCAACUCCAGAACUGCCUUUGAUACUGGCGAUCUUGAGUCCGGGAGAGGUGAGUGGAACUGCGAGUGUAGAGGUGAAAUUCGUAGAUAUUCGCAAGAACACCAGUGGCGAAGGCGGCUCACUGGCCCGGUACUGACGCUGAGGUGCGAAAGCGUGGGGAGCAAACAGG
rnacentral:rRNA from 1 species